rnacentral:rRNA from 1 species
CCUACGGGGGGCUGCAGUGGGGAAUAUUGCGCAAUGGGCGAAAGCCUGAACGAGCAAUGCCGCGUGAACGAGGAAGGUCUUCGGAUCGUAAAGUUCUGUUGAAGGGGAAAAAGAGCGGAGAGAGGAAAUGGUCUCCGAUUGAUAUUACCCUUCGAGGAAGUCACGGCUAACUACGUGCCAGCAGCCGCGGUAAUACGUAGGUGGCGAGCGUUAUCCGGAAUGAUUGGGCGUAAAGGGUGCGUAGGCGGCCUGCUAAGUCUGGAGUGAAAGGUACCGGCUCAACCGGUAUAGGCUCUGGAAACUGGCGGGCUAGAGAGCAGGAGAGGGCGGUGGAACUCCAUGUGUAGCGGUAAAAUGCGUAGAUAUAUGGAAGAACACCAGUGGCGAAGGCGGCCGCCUGGCCUGUUACUGACGCUGAGGCACGAAAGCGUGGGGAGCAAAUAGGAUUAGAUACCCCUGUAGUC